ACAAAUUGCAUUUGAUUUAAAGCCUCGUUGGAACCAAGUGUUCCCAGAGGAGUACUUUCAUGCUUACAUAUGCAAGCAAAUCCACAUCGCCACUAUCAACAAAGGAGCCAAUUAGAUUUUAAAGCAAAGAAAAUUCGUUGAAAUUACAAGAAAUACGAAGCAUUACAAUUCCAAAAAGAAAUUUUCGAAAUUAACAUUUCUUCCAACUAAUUGCAACUGAUAAGAAAUCUCGCAACGAACGACGUCCCAACAAGUGGGGGCACUUCACGUACGAACAUUUACACGAUAUUUCGGAAGACUGAGAAAAUGCUUCCAAUUAUGGCAAGAAAAUCUAAACAAAGAAAGGAAAAGUAAAGUAAAGUCAAUUGGCAAUUAAAUACAGGAAGCCUGCAACGCAUUUCGUUCGAUUUUUCUUUAAUUGCCAGCGGAAGCGAAACCUAUGAAAAUUCAUCGUCAGCGCAUUAGUGGAAAUUGUUGCGAUUUCGAAAAUGAUUAAGCGGCAUAUUAUUAGGACAACAACGAUCACUGUAAACCCUCCGUUGGGCACCCAAGUCUGGCGAGAAAAGUCUUUUUCGACUUUGGACGUGAAUUUAACAUAUUUCUACUAUAGUUAACGACUUGAGCUUCCAGGAUUCUCCAACAGGAUGAAAAAACGGCAAACCAGGGUGCCCAAUCGAAGGCUUUAAAAAAGGUGUCCAACGGAGGGCUAAAAUAAUAAUGAGCAAAAAUUGAAUCUUAUUUGAUAACGGCAGAUGAAACCACAUUUUCAGUAAUC